CGGGUGAGUCAUACGUGGGCAAUCUGCCCUGCACUCUGGGACAAGCCCUGGAAACGGGGUCUAAUACCGGAUACUGACCGUCACGGGCAUCCGUGAGGGUCGAAAGCUCCGGCGGUGCAGGAUGAGCCCGCGGCCUAUCAGCUUGUUGGUGAGGUAACGGCUCACCAAGGCGACGACGGGUAGCCGGCCUGAGAGGGCGACCGGCCACACUGGGACUGAGACACGGCCCAGACUCCUACGGGAGGCAGCAGUGGGGAAUAUUGCACAAUGGGCGAAAGCCUGAUGCAGCGACGCCGCGUGAGGGAUGACGGCCUUCGGGUUGUAAACCUCUUUCAGCAGGGAAGAAGCGAAAGUGACGGUACCUGCAGAAGAAGCGCCGGCUAACUACGUGCCAGCAGCCGCGGUAAUACGUAGGGCGCGAGCGUUGUCCGGAAUUAUUGGGCGUAAAGAGCUCGUAGGCGGCUUGUCACGUCGGUUGUGAAAGCCCGGGGCUUAACCCCGGGUCUGCAGUCGAUACGGGCAGGCCUAAGUUCGGUAGGGGAGAUCGGAAUUCCUGGUGUAGCGGUGAAAUGCGCAGAUAUCAGGAGGAACACCGGUGGCGAAGGCGGAUCUCUGGGCCGAUACUGACGCUGAGGAGCGAAAGCGUGGGGAGCGAACAGGAUUAGAUACCCUGGUAGUCCACGCCGUAAACGGUGGGCACUAGGUGUGGGCGACAUUCCACGUCGUCCGUGCCGCAGCUAACGCAUUAAGUGCCCCGCCUGGGGAGUACGGCCGCAAGGCUAAAACUCAAAGGAAUUUGACGGGGCCCGCA
rnacentral:rRNA from 1 species